rfam:Microgenomates (Shapirobacteria) bacterium GW2011_GWE1_38_10 TS68_C0006, whole genome shotgun sequence.
GCCGUCGUGUUGAAACUGGUAGACAAGCACGUUUCAGAAGCGUGUGGAGCAAUCCAUGGAGGUUCGAUUCCUCUCGACGGCA